UAGGGAAUCUUCCGCAAUGGACGCAAGUCUGACGGAGCAACGCCGCGUGAGUGAAGAAGGAUUUCGGUUCGUAAAACUCUGUUGUUAGAGAAGAACAGCGCAUAGAGUAACUGUUAUGCGUGUGACGGUAUCUAACCAGAAAGCCACGGCUAACUACGUGCCAGCAGCCGCGGUAAUACGUAGGUGGCAAGCGUUGUCCGGAUUUAUUGGGCGUAAAGCGAGCGCAGGCGGUCAAUUAAGUCUGAUGUGAAAGCCCCCGGCUCAACCGGGGAGGGUCAUUGGAAACUGGGUGACUUGAGUGCAGAAGAGGAGAGUGGAAUUCCAUGUGUAGCGGUGAAAUGCGUAGAUAUAAGGAGGAACACCGGUGGCGAAAGCGGCUCUCUGGUCUGUAACUGACGCUGAGGCUCGAAAGCGUGGGGAGCGAACAGG
rnacentral:rRNA from 1 species